UACCUGCAGCUCAAGUGGUGAUCAUUAUUAUUGGGCCUAAAACGUCCGUAGCCGGUUUAGUAAAUGCCUGGGUAAAUCGUGUAGCUUAACUAUACGACUUCCGGGUAGACUACUAAACUUGAGACCGGGAGAGGCUAGAGGUACUCCUGGGGUAGAGGUGAAAUUCUGUAAUCCUAGGGGGACCACCAGUGGCGAAGGCGUCUAGCUAGAACGGGUCUGACGGUGAGGGACGAAGCCCUGGGGCACAAACCGGAUUAGAUACCCGGGUAGUCCAGGGUGUAAACGCUGCUUGCUUGAUGUUAGUUGGGCUCCGAGCCCAACUAGUGUCGGAGAGAAGUUGUUAAGCAAGCUGCCUGGGAAGUACGGUCGCAAGGCUGAAACUUAAAGGAAUUGGCGGGGGAGCACAGCAACGGGUGGAGCGUGCGGUUU
rnacentral:rRNA from 1 species